AGAUUCAUAUGUAUUGUAACUCAUAUAAUUGCGAGAAUAUGGCUCGCUAAGUUUCUACCGGAUUACCGUAAAUAAUUCGACUAUGAGUAGGCAGCACGUUUUU
rnacentral:ncRNA from 2 species